rnacentral:rRNA from 1 species
AGUGAACGCUGGCGGUAGGCCUAACACAUGCAAGUCGAACGGCAGCACAGUAAGAGCUUGCUCUUACGGGUGGCGAGUGGCGGACGGGUGAGGAAUACAUCGGAAUCUACUUUUUCGUGGGGGAUAACGUAGGGAAACUUACGCUAAUACCGCAUACGACCUACGGGUGAAGCAGGGGGUCUUCGGACCUUGCGCGGUUGAAUGAGCCGAUGUCGGAUUAGCUAGUUGGCGGGGUAAAGGCCCACCAAGGCGACGAUCCGUAGCUGGUCUGAGAGGAUGAUCAGCCACACUGGAACUGAGACACGGUCCAGACUCCUACGGGAGGCAGCAGUGGGGAAUAUUGGACAAUGGGCGCAAGCCUGAUCCAGCCAUACCGCGUGGGUGAAGAAGGCCUUCGGGUUGUAAAGCCCUUUUGUUGGGAAAGAAAAGCAGCAGGUUAAUACCCCGCUGUUCUGACGGUACCCAAAGAAUAAGCACCGGCUAACUUCGUG